UUGUCACAUCUGUAUCAGUGUUUUACUAGAGAAACAGCUAUAACACAAGAUAUACAAAUGUAUAAGAGUUUAAAAGAUUGGCUUCCAAUGGCCACUCACAGAGUCAGAUGAAGAAGAGUGGGGUCUGUCUGCAUAGUGGAGAAGGAUUCAGUCCAAGGUCUGGAGCUCAGGGCAGUGUCCCAUGCAAGUGCCUAUCAGGAGGCCAAUGGACCUGCAAUGGAAGGCUGAAGAGUUUACAGCAGAAAGCUGAAGGACCUGCACUGGAAGCUGAAGAGUCUACACUGGAAGCCAGGAAAUGAUGUCCAAGGUAAAGGUGAAGACUGGAGCUCCUGCCAAGAAAUAGAAGUGCCCCAGCUUCUCUACCCAGAGGCCACUGAUUUCUUGGCGUUCUUCCAGAGCUGUGCGUGAAGAACUAUGCUCAGGAGCCCUUGGAGAGACUCGCUGCCUCCUGGUUUCCACAUCUUGGUGGUUCAGUGCACAAGGCUGGACUGUUCUUAGGUUCAGAGAAAAAUGUGCCCCAGCCCCACCCAAGUCUCCGCCUUGGUUCCCUGACUAAUGGAAACGAGCGCCUUUUCUCUCAAAAAUAUUUGGGGCGGCCUUGGACAACAUAACAGGGGGUCCUUGUGAAGAUUUAACCCGAUAACCAGGAACUGAACCAUUUUCCAUGCGUCGAAUAGGAGUCUCAGUACAAGUUCACACCAAGCAGAUGCGCGCACCGUGAAAGGCCCAGAGGACAGUGGAAGACGCGGUGUGCGCCCCAACUUCCCAGCUCCCUCCUUUGGGCCUCCCUUUCUUCUCUCUGAGGUUUUCUUUUUACCUCCGCUCACAGGCACUCUGUAUUUUCAGGGUUAAAGGUAAUCCAGGAAAUAUGCCUCUGUAUUUACAAAGACAUGUUAAUAGAGUAAUAAGUUACUUUUCCUUAUGUACUGAUAAAUUCCGCAAGAUGCCCUAGGAUAAUGAUUUCAAGGGCUGGGAAAGGAUGGCUGUCUCUUAGGAAGAAAAUAUCAGACCAGGAAUGGCACUGCACACCGGUAAUCCCAGCACUCCGGGAGGCUGAUGGAGGAGGACAGAAAGUUAAGCCCAUCUUGGGCAGUUUAGAGCCUGAGCCGGACCCUAUCUCAAAAUAAAAAUAUAAAAAAAGGGCUGGAGCGUGUAGCUUAGGGCAAAGACCUGGAUUCAAUCCACAAUCCAUAAAAACAAUUCAGAAUAUUCGAAAUGCAAUUAAUAAUUUUUUUUUUUUUUUUUUGUCUUUUU